rnacentral:tRNA from 1 species
GGUAUGUAGCUCAUCAGUAGAGCACAUGCUUAAGAUGCAUGAGGUCCUGGAUUUGAUCCCCAGAACUACCG